UUCACACCAUGAUGAUUCAUACAUUUACAGUUCAAUUAAAAAAUCCCAAAUCUUGUAUAAACACAGUCCUAGCAUACGUGUACGCUUGUAAGUCUUGUACGCUUGAAUUUCUUUUCAAUAAUAACACUCCAAUAUAGUAGAUCAAGGACAUAUGCCAUCAUUCCCAUCAAUACUCACUCAGAGUGAACCAAGAGUAUGAAUUAUUACCAUAACGAAGCCUGUUAUUUUGCCC